UCAGGGCCCCCAAGGGAAGGAAGGCACAACGGGCCCCCGAGGCGCCACAGGACCCAUGGGACCUCCGGGAUCUCCUGGAAAUUCAGGUGGAGUCGGAAAACCAGGAAACCCCGGAGACACCGGAUCUCCUGGCUCUCUCGGUCUAAAGGGAGACAAGGGAGAGAGAGGCGACUUCGCUCCUCAGAACAUGAUGAGAUCCAUCGCCAGACAAGUGUGUGAGCAGCUGGUGAACGGUGAGAUG